GAUGAACGCUGGCGGCGUGCCUAAUACAUGCAAGUCGAGCGAACAGACGAGGAGCUUGCUCCUCUGACGUUAGCGGCGGACGGGUGAGUAACACGUGGAUAACCUACCUAUAAGACUGGGAUAACUUCGGGAAACCGGAGCUAAUACCGGAUAAUAUAUUGAACCGCAUGGUUCAAUAGUGAAAGACGGUUUUGCUGUCACUUAUAGAUGGAUCCGCGCCGCAUUAGCUAGUUGGUAAGGUAACGGCUUACCAAGGGAACGAUGCGUAGCCGACCUGAGAGGGUGAUCGGCCACACUGGAACUGAGACACGGUCCAGACUCCUACGGGAGGCAGCAGUAGGGAAUCUUCCGCAAUGGGCGAAAGCCUGACGGAGCAACGCCGCGUGAGUGAUGAAGGUCUUCGGAUCUUAAAACUCUGUUAUUAGGGAAGAACAAAUGUGUAAGUAACUAUGCACGUCGUGACGGUACCUAAUCAGAAAGCCACGGCUAACUACGUG
rnacentral:rRNA from 1 species